ACGCAUUGCUCCUCCUCCUAUCUAUCUAUUUCUCUCUUUCACUCGCGUGAUUUUCUCCUCCCCUCCAUUUUCCCCCAGUGGUUUGCGGCACGAUUCGGGCGUGGGUUCGCCAGAGAUCUGGACCGCCGGAGGUAAUCCCCAUCCUCUACACGCUCUUUUUGCGUUUGCUCGCGUCUGUUUCUGGGGUGCGUGUUCGAUUGGGCUAGGAUUAGGUGGUGCUCGUCGCCGGAGUGGGGCGGAGGACGCGUAUAUGAAGCGAAGGACAGCGAUGUCUAUGGUGACUCCGCACUCGUUCAUUUUUGGGUCGAAUACCUAGUUCGUCUAGGGGUGUAGCGGGCGUCCCAGUCGAAUAAGGUGCGGUCAGGUGGUUUUACCAAUGGUGGAAGGGCAUGAACUAGAUGAGAGAGGAGGGAGCGGGGUGGUACAAUUCGUGUUGGGAUUUUUGGUUUUUUGGUAAGAUUAUUUGUUCAACGAUAAAAUUUUGCUUGUAAUAGGCGCAUGAGUUUUUUGCGAGAAAAACUUCCAAUCUAUUCAUCUUCACUCAUGGUAGUACAACGAACACUAGAAAUAAUAAAAAUUACAUCCAGAUCCGUAAACCACCUAGCGACGACUACAACACUGAAGCGAGCCGAAGGCACGCCGCUGUCAUCGCCCCUCCCUCACCGGAGCCGGGCAAACCUGUUGUAGUAGACAGUCGAGAAGUCGUCGUGCUAAGGCCCCAUAGAACAAAUGCACCAGAAAUAGCACCCGCCGCCGAUGAAGAGGGUAGAUCAGAAGGAUCCAACUUAAAGACACAGGAACAUAGACAAACGAUGGACAAAUCCGAGCAAAUCUACCAAAGAUAGAUCCGCUGGAGACACACCUCCACACGCCCACCGACGAUGCUAGACGCAUCACCGGAACGGGGCUAGGCGGGGAGACCUUUAUUCCAUCUUCAGGGAGUCGCCGCCGUCUCGCCUUCCUAAGUAGGACACAAACUCUAUCAAAACUCGAAAAAAAAUCUAAAAAUGAAGCCCUCCCAGUGGAAAGGGCCAAGAUCCACUCCGCCUCCAUGGCCCUAAGGCCACCGGAGAUGGGGCGGACCAGCGACGGCACCGGCGGGAGGCAAGAGGAACCCUAGGUUUUUGGAAGCCGGCGGCUGGCUAGGAAGAAAAGAUUCCGGAGGCGUUGAUGCCGAGCACUAGGCGACGUCAUGAUUCUUCUUCUUGAGUUGCUAUCAUUUUCAUAAGUAGUCGCUUGUGUUGGUACUUUGGGUGAGGUUUUUGUUUUCACAUGGGCAGUUGCUUAGAAUAUCUCAAUGGUUGCUCUUUUUUGUCCAAUAUUUGCUCGUGUUUGGGAUUUUAAGGAUUUUGGGUGACGUUUUUUCACAAAGGCGGUAGCUUGGAAAUAGGGCAGCAGUUGCUCAUUUUUUUUCGUUGUGCUUUGUUCUGAUGUAGGCCGUGCACCUUAAGGUGCUCCAUCUUUUCACGGGCCGGGGAAUAUGAAUUUGAUUUUCUGAACAUUAUUCACGACCAACAUAUUAUUUUUGGAUGCAACAUUUUGUAGUUUUAGUUGCUUCUGCUAGGAGAGUAGAUGAGCUCUGGAUAAUUUUUGGAGGUGCCCCUGGUGUAAGUUAUAGGAGUUUAGGAGGUUAGAAGUUCAGCAAAUAUUUUGUAUACCAGAGCAUGCUUUUUUCUAUAUCAGUAGCGAGCUUGAUGGUAAUAUGGUUUGAACAUAUAUAUGAAAUUAAGGUUAUUCGGGUUUUUUCAGCGAUGUUUUUGCUUGCAAUACGAGCAGGAAUUGGUCUCAAAUCGUCAAUAGUUGCUCGAAUGUUUUGGGCAUUUGGGUUGCAAUACGAGCAGGAACUGGUCUCAAAUCGUCAAUACUUGCUCGAAUUUUUUUGGCUUUUGGGUGUUUUGGGGUGAGUUUUUCUGACAAACGCGGUUGCUAACAGUAGUUGCUCUCAUGAUGACCGUAAUUGCUUGUGUGUUGUUGGACUUUUUUGGGUCAGGGUUAUUCAAUAAAGACAGUUGCUUAAAGAAGGAGCAGGAGUUGCUCUCAUUUUCUCUGUCAAUGGUUGCUCUUUUUUAGUAGGUACUAAAAUUUCUCUCAAUUUUUGAUUCUACAUAAUGACACUCGAAAGUAAAAGGAUCUCGUAUAGCAGGAGGCACUCUUUUGACAUUUACUUUUUCUUUCUUUUGGGGUCAUAUAUUAAGCACAUGUUUUGUUCAUUUUUUUACAUUUUUUUCAAAUAAUU
rnacentral:lncRNA from 1 species